rnacentral:rRNA from 1 species
CCUACGGGAGGCAGCAGUGGAGAAUAUUGGACAAUGGGCGAAAGCCUGAUCCAGCAAUGCCGCGUGAGUGAUGAAGGCCCUAGGGUUGUAAAGCUCUUUUACCCGGGAAGAUAAUGACUGUACCGGGAGAAUAAGCCCCGGCUAACUCCGUGCCAGCAGCCGCGGUAAUA